GACGAACGCUGGCGGCGUGCCUAAUACAUGCAAGUAGAACGCUGAAGGAGGAGCUUGCUUCUCUGGAUGAGUUGCGAACGGGUGAGUAACGCGUAGGUAACCUGCCUGGUAGCGGGGGAUAACUAUUGGAAACGAUAGCUAAUACCGCAUAAUAUUGACUAUUGCAUGAUAGUCAGUUGAAAGGUGCAACUGCACCACUACCAGAUGGACCUGCGUUGUAUUAGCUAGUUGGUGGGGUAACGGCUCACCAAGGCGACGAUACAUAGCCGACCUGAGAGGGGGGUCGGCCACACUGGGACUGAGACACGGCCCAUAGUCCUUCGGGAGGCAGCAGUAGGGAAUCUUCGGCAAUGGACGGAAGUCUGACCGAGCAACGCCGAGUGAGUGAAGAAGGUUUUCGGAUCGUAAAGCUCUGUUGUAAGGGAAGAACGAGUGUGAGAGUGGAAAGCUCACACUGUGACGGUAUCUUACCAGAAAGGGACGGCUAACUACGUG
rnacentral:rRNA from 1 species